GACGAACGCUGGCGGCGUGCUUAACACAUGCAAGUCGAACGGAAAGGCCCUGCUUGCAGGGUACUCGAGUGGCGAACGGGUGAGUAACACGUGGGUGAUCUGCCCUGCACUUCGGGAUAAGCCUGGGAAACUGGGUCUAAUACCGGAUAGGAGCCAUUUUUAGUGUGAUGGUUGGAAAGUUUUUUCGGUGUAGGAUGAGCUCGCGGCCUAUCAGCUUGUUGGUGGGGUAAUGGCCUACCAAGGCGGCGACGGGUAGCCGGCCUGAGGGGGUGGACGGCCACAUUGGGACUGAGGUACGGCCCAGACACCUACGGGAGGCAGCAGUGGGGAAUAUUGCACGAUGGGCGCAAGCCUGAUGCAGCGACGCCGCGGGGGGGAUGACGGCCUUCGGGUUGUAAACUCAUUUCGCUAGGGACGAAGCUUUUUGUGACGGUACCUAGAUAAGAAGCACCGGCUAACUACGUG
rnacentral:rRNA from 1 species